CAUGCAAGUCGAGCGGUAGCCCAGAAAGCUUGCUCUCGUUUGACGAGCGGCGGACGGGUGAUGCCUGUCUGUCAAACUGCCUGAGGGAGGGGGAUAACUACUGGGAACGGUAGCUCCUACCGCAUCCCGCGGCAGAACCCAAGUGGGGGACCUUCCGGGCUCAUGCCAUCGAAUGUGCCCAGAUGGGAUUAGCUGGUGGGUGGGGGGAUGGCUCACGUAAGCAACCAUCCCUGGCUGGUCUGGAAGGAUGACCACCCUGACUGGAACUGACACACGGUACUCACUCCUACGGCAGGCAGGGGGAAUGAAUAUUGCACAAUGGGCGCCUGCCUGAUGCAUGCAUGCCGCGUGUAUGAAGAAGGCCUUCGGGUUGUAACUUACUUUCAGGAGGAAGGAAGGCAUUAAGGUUAAUAACCUUGUGAUUGACGUUACUCAAUAAACAAGCACCGGCUAACUCCGUGCCACCGCCGCGGAAAUACGGAGGGUGCAAGCGUUAAUCGGAAUUACUGGGCGUAAAGCGCACGGUGGUUUGUUUGUUAAGGAUGAUGUGAAAUCCCCGGGCUCCACCUGGGAACUGCAUUUGAAACUGGCAAGCUUGAGUCUUGAGGAGGGGGGAAUAAUUUCAGGUGUAGCGAAAAAAUGCGAUAUAUAUCUGGACGAAUACCGGUGGCGAAGCCACCCCCCUGGACACUGACUGACGCUGAGGUGCGAAAGCGGGAGGAACAAACAUGAUUACAUACCCUGGUCCACCACGCAGUAAACGAUGACUACUUGGAGGUUGCUCCCUUGAUGAGUGGCUUCCGUAGCUAACGUAAUUAAGAUCGACCGGCUGGGGAGUACGGCCGGAAGGUAGAUACUCAAAUGUAUGGACGGCGCGCCACGCACAAGCGGAGG
rnacentral:rRNA from 1 species